rnacentral:rRNA from 1 species
GAUGAACGCUGGCGGCGUGCCUAAUACAUGCAAGUCGAGCGAACGGACGAGAAGCUUGCUUCUCUGAUGUUAGCGGCGGACGGGUGAGUAACACGUGGAUAAUCUACCUAUAAGACUGGGAUAACUUCGGGAAACCGGAGCUAAUACCGGAUAAUAUUUUGAACCGCAUGGUUCAAAAGUGAAAGACGGUCUUGCUGUCACUUAUAGAUGGAUCCGCGCUGCAUUAGCUAGUUGGUAAGGUAACGGCUUACCAAGGCAACGAUGCAUAGCCGACCUGAGAGGGUGAUCGGCCACACUGGAACUGAGACACGGUCCAGACUCCUACGGGAGGCAGCAGUAGGGAAUCUUCCGCAAUGGGCGAAAGCCUGACGGAGCAACGCCGCGUGAGUGAUGAAGGUCUUCGGAUCGUAAAACUCUGUUAUUAGGGAAGAACAUAUGCGUAAGUAACUGUGCACAUCUUGACGGUACCUAAUCAGAAAGCCACGGCUAACUACGUG